rnacentral:misc_RNA from 1 species
AGACUUCAACCCCUCGGGUUUUGCUCGAGGAUGUUGGACUUGGGUGCUGCCGUGUCUUCGGCUCGCCUCAAAUGUGUCAGUGGUAAUCAGACCUUUGACAGGAGUAAUAAGUUUCUCUUGUCUGUCGGUCGUCGAUGGCUGCUACAAACCCGCCUCUUUGGCAUCUAUGA